UACGGGGGGGGGCAAGCGUUGUUCGGAAUUACUGGGCGUAAAGGGCUCGUAGGUGGCCAACUAAGUCAGACGUGAAAUCCCUCGGCUUAACCGGGGAACUGCGUCUGAUACUGGAUGGCUUGAGUUCGGGAGAGGGAUGCGGAAUUCCAGGUGUAGCGGUGAAAUGCGUAGAUAUCUGGAGGAACACCGGUGGCGAAGGCGGCAUCCUGGACCAACACUGACACUGAGGAGCGAAAGCCAGGGGAGCAAACGGG
rnacentral:rRNA from 1 species